rnacentral:rRNA from 1 species
CCGUAAACCUGAAUAUCUAAACAACAAAGUUAUUCGCCAGAGCACUACAAGCAACAGCUUAAAACUCAAAGGACUUGGCGGUGCUUUACAUUCCCCCUAGAGGAGCCUGUUCUAUAAUCGAUAAACCCCGAUAAACCUCACCUCCCCUUGCUAAUCCAACCUAUAUACCGCCAUCCUCAGCAAACCCUGUCAAGGCGACAAAGUAAGCAAGAGAAUCAUGCAUUAAAACGUUAGGUCAAGGUGUAGUCUAUGGGGCGGGAAGAAAUGGGCUACAUUUUCUACCUGCCAUAGAACAAUUAACGCUAGCCCCAAUGAAACAAUAGGCGAAAGGCGGAUUUAGUAGUAAAUUGAGAGUAGAGAGCUUAAUUGAAUAGGGCAAUGAAGC